UCCAGACUCAACCCCUAUCUCUUUUUUUCUUGUAAUAUUUACUUCCACUAUGCACAGCUAUUGGCUUUCUCAAUGUACUCUCUUCUUUGCAUUUAUUCUCACUGAGCUUUGAUCCUAGAAUGUUCUUCAAGGUCCAGAGAACCCAAAGAUAAAGACUUUACAGAAGCCUUAACUUAUUCAACUUAUGGUCAACUUGUCAAUGACUCUGUCUUGAAAAUUACUGAUAUUUUACCAUAUUUGGAGGAAAGAAUUAGCUCAGAAAGUCAAGAGACCUAGAGGAAAUUCUUUCGGAAUUGAUGAGGCAUUGUUGUGGUUUGAUUCUGAUUAAGAUAUAACAGACAGUCAGGAAGCUGAGAUUACCUCCCAGAGCUCCCUUUCCAGACAUGCAGCCAUAAAGCAGGAAAAGAAAUAGAAAAAGGUGGAAAACAACUGGACUUAGUCUAGGCAUACUGGCAGACUGUAUUAGAGCCAUGCCUCCGAGACUGUGGGACUCUUCUGAAGCUUCUUUAAGACACCAUAUAUAACCAGGAAGUGUUAAACAAAAUCAGUCAGUGUCAGUUAAACU
rnacentral:lncRNA from 1 species